UGUGAACUCAUCCAAAACAAAAUUAUGUUUGUCUCCACCACUUCCAUCUUCGUCGCCACCAUCGCCGUCUGCAUCUCCACGAAAAAUCGAUAAAACUUAACUCCACCACCAUCACCUCCAGCACCACCUCAUCGCCCACCAUAUCUACAUAUUCAUCAUCAUCUCCAUCACUACCUCUUAUAUUUCCACCAAAUCCACCACCUACAACACCACUUCUUCCUCCCAAACAAUCGAUUCAGAUUCAAAACCUAAAUUUGGUGAUGAUUCAACGAAAAAAUAAUCUUCAAAGCCUAAUAUCGAGAAUCGAUUGCGAAAUAAUGAUGAUAAUCGUCACCAACAAUUGGAUCUGGAGAUUCAAUAUUCAAAAGAGAAUUAAAAGAUAAGUUUUAUCUCUUAUUUUCAUUCUAAUUAGUGGCGAUUAUUAAUGGAUAAUCUUUGAAUCUCAAAAUGUAAAGAAAAUGAAUUAAAUAAGUAAUUUUAAGAUGUAUACACGACAAAUGUUUUGGUUAAUUUGAUGUUUAGACAUAGAUUUUUGCACCUGAUUAACAAUCUCUAUGUAGGAAACGGUGGUGGUGGUCGUGGUCGGGAGAUGGUGGUAGUGGUGAAUUCUUCCUGCUUCCUAAGAAAAAAGGUACAUAAAUGAUUGUGGUGGUGAUGAUUUCCUGGGUUUGGUAUGUCGCAACAUUUUAUUGGUCUGUUACUAGUCACUACGCUCAAUUCUAUAUUGUUUGGUGUGGUGAUUUACUUCCAGUCUACACCAGGAAUGAUAUUUGACAUAUUUUAUAUGAUUUUACAUGGUUUUUCUUGAGUUUAAAAAUGCUAUUUUUACUUUAUUCUGUUAAGCAUCGGCAAGAAUACAAGGGGUCAAGUCAACAACACACUUUUUCAUAUUAUCUUGGUGCUUUUUUAAGGAAUUGCGUCUCAAUUUGACUAUUAGUGGGUCUAGAUCAAGUAAGGUGUGAAAUGUGAAUAACAUGGAUUUGUCAGGUGAUAUAAUUCCGUAUUUAUUGAAUGGAGUAUCGUUGAUGGUGCUGAUGUUAGUUUGUAUGGAAGACAAAGUGGAGAGUACCCUUUUAUAUAUAUCCUUCAUAUUUUUAGCUGCAAGAGAUGCCAGUGUGUCUGCAAGACAAAGUGGAGAGUACCCUUUUCAUUUUUUGACCUUCACUCUUACAAGAACCUUACGUGUUAGAAAAUUAACCUUGGUCAUCCCACUGUUUUCUUUUUAAUCAAAUAUGCUUUUCAUGUCCAUAUAUGAGGCUCAUACAUCAUAUCCGGUUGCCGGCUUCCCCGCCUCUUGCAAGCGAUCUUAGUUUCCCAAGGUAUUGAAAUUAUUUGAGGAAGCAUACAUUUGUACUUGAAGCGUACAUAGAUAGAGUCAAUUGGAUUUGUUGGGAUUUGUUGCACCAUACAUCAUGGCAAUGGUUCAUAUAACGUCAGCACUACGAGUAUAUUUUAGAGGUUACUCGUUUUUGGUGGUAUCAAAUUAUAACUUUAUUCAAGUGGGUUUAAUGAGAAAGGUGUGGAGUUCUUCAAAUGAUGAAUUGUGGUGCAAUGGUAGCAUGACUGACUCUACGUCAGAUGAUGCAUAUUCGACUCACUCCAAAUUCACUCAUUCAUAUAUGUCAUAAUUUGUUUUGUGUCAAACUUUGGUUGUUGAUUCCAUCUACUGGGAUCAACUUCCAUUGUUGACACAACUGGACUAGAAUAUUUUUCGGUUAUUUGUGCCAACUUUAAUUGUUGAUUCCAUUCACUGGGAUUAACUUCCAUUGUUGAUACAAAAAUGCUGGAAUAUUUUUUUCAGUUAUUGCGUCAACUUUGGUUGUUGACCCCAUUCAGUGGGAUCAACUUCCAUUGUUGACACAACUGAAUUGGAAUGAUUUUUUGUUAUUUAUAUCAAAUUUGGUUGUCGACUUCAUUCACUGGGAUCAACUUAGUUUGUUGACUCAAAAAAAAAUUGAAAUAUGUAUUAGUAAAGUUUUUUUUUUUGAACUUUUAAUUUUUGGAUCAACUUUGGUUGUUGACACCAAAUUUUGGUAGCGGCGGCGGUGGCGGCUAUAGCGGUGGUGGCGACAACGGCGUUGAUAACGUCGACAGUGGUGGUGGUGGAAUAUUCGUGGAGGUGGUGGAAUAUUAAUUGUGGUUGUAGUUAGUAAGCGGUGGUGAUGGUGGUGGUGUAAUGGUGGUGGUGGUGGUAGUGGCCGUGAAGAAAUAGAGAAAGAAAUUUAUUAAUGGAUAAGGUUUGUAAAUGAAAAAUAAUUAUAAGCGAGCGUAUUAAGGUAAUUUAUUUUUUAA